UAAUUAUCACGUUUAAAAAUUGCGAGAUACAGAAGCUGUAGAGCAAAAGUAGCACAAAUAUCGCGUACAAAAUAUACAGCAUCUUCUUGUACGAUGUGCGACACGAGGACGGCAUCCGACAUCCGCAAAUUAAAUUGUGAAAGAAUUGUUUACGUUCAUAUUUCUCCGAAUAAAAAAUUAAUAAAAAUAACUACGAAUAAGAUACAUAAAAUACAGAGAUAUAAAAAUUUAUUUAAAUUGUGAAAUAAAAGGCUUUAAAGGUGUAAAAGAAAUGACAACGUUAAGAAAAGUGGUCAAAAAAUGAGUAUGAAAAAUCAUCUUCAAAAUGGAAGAAGUAUAUUAGGACAUAGAAGUAUAUUAAGACAAACAGAUGUAAGUAUUUUAAUUUUUUAAAACUAUCGAAAAUUUUGUAAAUAAAUACUAAAAAUGUAAAUUAAUGUGUAUAUGUAAAAAAUGUAAGAAAAAUAAAGUAUAAAUAAAGACG